rnacentral:rRNA from 1 species
CUACGGGCGGCUGCAGUGGGGAAUAUUGCACAAUGGGCGAAAGCCUGAUGCAGCAACGCCGCGUGAGGGACGACGGCCUUCGGGUUGUAAACCUCUUUUAGCAGGGAAGAAGCGAAAGUGACGGUACCUGCAGAAAAAGCACCGGCUAACUACGUGCCAGCAGCCGCGGUAAUACGGUAGGGUGCAAGCGUUGUCCGGAAUUAUUGGGCGUAAAGAGCUCGUAGGCGGUUUGUCGCGUCUGCUGUGAAAAUCCGAGGCUCAACCUCGGACCUGCAGUGGGUACGGGCAAACUAGAGUGCGGUAGGGGAGAUUGGAAUUCCUGGUGUAGCGGUGGAAUGCGCAGAUAUCAGGAGGAACACCAAUGGCGAAGGCAGAUCUCUGGGCCGUAACUGACGCUGAGGAGCGAAAGCGUGGGGAGCGAACAGGAUUAGAUACCCUAGUAGUC